UUACAGUGAAACUGCGAAUGGCUCAUUAAAUCAGUUAUAAUUUAUUUGAUCUUUCCUUACCAGUGGAUAUCCGUGGUAAUUCUAGAGCUAAUACAUAUACGCGAAGACCCAACUUCUGGAAGGGUUGUAUUUAUUAGAUAAAAAACCAAUGUGGGCAACCACUUCUUUGGUGAUUCAUAGUAACUUUACUGAUCGCAAUUUUAUUGCGACGUAUCAUAAAAAUUUCUGCCCUAUCAACUUUCGAUGGUAAGGUAGUGGCUUACCAUGGUUUUUACGGGUGACGGGGAAUAAGGGUUCGAUUCCGGAGAGGGAGCCUGAGAAACGGCUACCACAUCCAAGGAAGGCAGCAGGCGCGCAAAUUACCCAAUCCUGAUACAGGGAGGUAGUGACAAUAAAUAACGAUCUAGGGCCUUUAAGGUCAUAGAAUUGGAAUGAGUACAAAUUAAAACUAUUAACGAGGAACAAUUGGAGGGCAAGUCUGGUGCCAGCAGCCGCGGUAAUUCCAGCUCCAAUAGCGUAUAUUAAAGUUGUUGCAGUUAAAACGCCCGUAGUCGAACUUUUAGAACAUUGGAGGGUUAGUUCUGGCGCUUGGCAUUUAUGUUAGGUACUGGUCUAGGUUUUCAGGUUCUAUUACGUCAUAUCUCUGGCCUUUGGGCAUUUAUGCUGCCUUUACUGGUAGUGUUUAUGUCAUUUCUCCUCGGAGAGGGCUAGGGAUGAUUACUUUGAAAAAAUUAGAGUGUUCAAAGCAGGCUUAUGCCUGAAUACAUUAGCAUGGAAUAAUAAAAUAGGACUUUGGUUUUAUUUUGUUGGUUUCUAAAACUGAAGGAAUGAUGAAUAGGGUUGGUUGGGGUCAUUAGUAUUUUAUUGCUAGAGGUGAAAUUCUUGGAUUUGUGAAAGACUAACUUCUGCGAAAGCAUUUGACAAGGACAAUCUCAUUGAUCAAGGACGAAAGUUGGGGGAUCGAAGAUGAUUAGAUACCGUCGUAGUCUCAACCAUAAACUAUGCCAACUAGGGAUCAGUAUUCUAUUUAUGAGAAUAUUGGCACCUUGUGAGAAAUCAAAGUUU
rnacentral:rRNA from 1 species